AACGAACGCUGGCGGCAUGCCUAACACAUGCAAGUCGAACGAGACCUUCGGGUCUAGUGGCGCACGGGUGCGUAACGCGUGGGAACCUGCCUUUAGGUUCGGAAUAACUCAGAGAAAUUUGAGCUAAUACCGGAUAAUGUCUUCGGACCAAAGAUUUAUCGCCUUUAGAUGGGCCCGCGUUGGAUUAGCUAGUUGGUGGGGUAAAGGCCUACCAAGGCGACGAUCCAUAGCUGGUCUGAGAGGAUGAUCAGCCACACUGGGACUGAGACACGGCCCAGACUCCUACGGGAGGCAGCAGUGGGGAAUAUUGGACAAUGGGGGGCAACCCUGAUCCAGCCAUGCCGCGUGAGUGAAGAAGGCCUUCGGGUUGUUAAAGGACUCUUUCGACGGGGACGAUGAUGACGGUACCCGUACUAAGAAGCCCGGCAAACUUCGUGCCAGCAGCCGCGGUAAU
rnacentral:rRNA from 1 species